rnacentral:lncRNA from 1 species
UCCCACCAGUGGCUCCUGAUGCCUGUAAGGAAGAUUGGCCUACAGUGCAGCCAGGGCCCCAGACAAGGUGUUCUGCCAGACGAGAAGAGGAAUAUUGCUGUCUAUUUAAUAUGGAUGUCGAACAAGGUGAGGUCUUUGGUUGGGUUAGGGAGGUAGCAAUGGAAUAUAAAAUAUCUUCUAUUCACUUAGAAAUGCCCUGUUGUGUGGUUGUGUGGACUUCAUAUACCUGUGCCCUUCUCACUCGGGACAGACAGACGCAGACAGACAUUGUGACACACACAAACCACCUGCCCUGCCCCUUAAAGAGGGAGGGUCUGCUGGGAGGAACGUAACUCAGAGCACAAAAUAAUCUGAGUCCAGUGCUCUAGCCAGUCCAGUGCAGCAGCCAGGGUCACAGCCAGGGUCAGGUCGUGUUCUCCAGGGACACAGAAACAAUUGGAUCCACAGUAUCUGAGCUGGGAGAGCCAACAGUGUAGAUAGGUCCCAAACUGAAGACAGGAGAGCAAAGUCCCAGCCCCAACAGGCAAGAGGGCGUCCCUCUUCUGAGCCUUUGCACCUCAUUCUGGCCUUCGGUUGACUUGGUGUAGCAUCCAUGGAGCGGAAUCCCAACAUGCUUCGCUCUGCCUUCUUUUUUUUUUUUUUUUUUUUUUUUUUUUUUUUUUUGGGUCUUUUUUUCGGAGCUGGGAACCGAACCCAGGGCCUUGCGCUUCCUAGGUAAGCACUCUACCACUGAGCUAAAUCCCCAGCCCCUCGCUCUGCCUUCUUAAAAUAGCAAACAGCACCUGAUCUAUGAGACGCCCCAAGACCAGCCCAAAGCAGGUGUCUCCUAGGGUGCCCACAGGAGUCACAUCAAAAGCCUCAGGCCUCAGGGGGCAGGGCCCAGCAAGUUCUGGUGAAUACUGAAGAGGCCUGAGUCUCUGGGGUGGUGGGGAGGAAGGUUCAGGGGACAGCAGGCCUUGGAGCAGGAGGAUGGUGCAGCCCCAGGGUGACCUCAUGUGGGUGUUGCGGGCCUUGUUGCUUUCUGUUUUUCAAAAUUCGUUCCAUUGACAUAAGAAGUCAGGCAGUUGCUUUUGUUGUCCUAAAUCCUUAAGGAGCAAAACUCCACACAAUCUUGGAGGAAAUUGAAUUCAGAAAUUAGAUGCAAGGCUUGGCAGAGACCUUAGCGGAGCCCCGACAGGGCGAGACAGACACAUCCACUGAGACCACAUCACAGUUAUUAACCUUUUGCUCCAGAGCAUAUGGAGAAAAGCUGCUAGACACACGGGGAGAAAUUUUCUAAAGCACAGGCACAGUGGGAGACUUCAACAUACCUCAUCAGUAAUGCCAGAUCAAAAGCAUGGGUAAAGGAAAGGGGAAUUCACAGAACAAUUAGCCACAUGAAUUAACAGAUAUGCGGGCCUUGAAGGAAGCAGCAUUCCUUUCAAACACUAAACAAACACAGAAAAGAGCAUUACAGGAACCUUGAGUAAGUCUGAGCAAGUAGCCCAUGCUACAAUGGGAUUCUGGGCAUGGUAUAAUAAAUGACGGGAAUAACCGCAGACAUGUGUGCGUGCAUGCAUGUGCAAGUGUGUGAGUGCACAUGUAUGAGUGAAUGUGUGUAUAUGUGUGGGUGAAUGUGGGUACAGGUGUGUAUGUAUGCAUGUAUAUGUACACGUGUGUGAGUGCAUGUGUGUAUGUAUGUGUGUAUGUGUGUUGGUGUGGGUCGGUACAUGUAUGUGUGUGCGUGCAUGUGUAUGAGUGAACAUGUGUGCGUGAAUGUGUGUGUACGUGUGUAUAUGUGUGCAUGUGUAUGAGUGAAUGUGUGUGAGUGUGUGCAUGUGCAUGUGUCUAUGUGUAUUUGUGCAUGUGUGUGUGCAUACGUGUGUGUGUGUAUAUGUGUGCAUGUGUAUGAGUGAAUGUGUGUGAGUGUGUGCAUGUGCAUGUGUCUAUGUGUAUUUGUGCAUGUGUGUGUGCAUACGUGUGUGUGUGUGUGUGUUCAAGAGGGUGACAGCCAGAGAACAACCAUGGUUAUUUCUCAGGAUCUAUCCAUCUAGAUAGUCCCCCAUUGGCUCCACUGCUUUUAUGCCUGUGGAGAGGCAGAACAUAGUGGGGAAGAGUGAGCCUCAGGGAUACCACACCUCUGCCUCCCUAGCACUGAAUGGCAAGUGCAUGAAACCACGCCCAGCUCUCACCACUUCACCAGUGGAGCUGCCCUCUUGGUCCCCAUAUAUUCAUAAAGCUGUAGCCAUCACACACCCUCCCCAAGGCUCGGGGAUCGUCUCAGAAGAGGGGGGGACAGAUUGUAAGAGCCAGAUGUUAGGAGACUGAGGAGAAACUGUCUUCUGAACAUGAUGGGGAGGCUGCAUUGAGGAACUCACAGCAGCUGCGGUUGCCAGACCUAGUAGACAUGAAGCCCUGGGUUCUGCUCACAGCACCGUAGUGAACUUGUGUGCUUGUGUCCAAACUAUAGCAGGAAAAGACAUCUUCAUUAAAGAGGCUGGCACCUCUGACGAGACCGUUGUGCUUCACUCUCCCCCGAUGCUCUGUGGCCUCGGGUCCCAUGGCGACACUUGGAGGAGACCUGGCUGGUUGAGCCUCCAUCACCAGCAGCAGGGGUGUGGAGCGACUCGGGGUCUCCCAUCCUCUUUAACAUUUGCUUCAGUCCAGCCUUCCUGUGGGAUAUGAGUGAAGAAUGCAUAUCUCGUCGUGACUUUGAUUUUUCUCUCCCAGUAUGCUGAACAUCUAUCCCGUCAUGGGCUUGGGCCAUUCACACAUCCAUUUUGAGAAAAACAACCAACCAACCAAACAAACAAACAAAAAACCAACUGCAUCUCCUCGGCCAUUUUAAACCCCUUUCCCCUUCUUUCCCGCUGCUGCGACUUUCCAUCUCAUCCCGCUUCUCUCGCUCCUCUUCCUUCUUUUGGAAAUGGAGUCUCACUUACAGCCAGACUCACCUAAAAAUCACGAUGUAUCCCAGGAGUUACAUACAGUUAUGAGCUAUCACGUGAGCUCUGGGAACUAAACCUCGG